rnacentral:rRNA from 1 species
GACGAACGCUGGCGGCGUGCUUAACACAUGCAAGUCGAACGGAAAGGCCCUGCUUGCAGGGUACUCGAGUGGCGAACGGGUGAGUAACACGUGGGUGAUCUGCCCUGCACUUCGGGAUAAGCCUGGGAAACUGGGUCUAAUACCGGAUAGGAGCCAUUUUUAGUGUGAUGGUUGGAAAGUUUUUUCGGUGUAGGAUGAGCUCGCGGCCUAUCAGCUUGUUGGUGGGGUAAUGGCCUACCAAGGCGGCGACGGGUAGCCGGCCUGAGAGGGUGGACGGCCACAGUGGGACUGAGAUACGGCCCAGACUCCGACGGGAGGCAGCAGUGGGGAAGAUUGCACAAUGGGCGCAAGCCUGAUGCAGCGACGCCGCGUGGGGGAUGACGGCCUUCGGGUUGGAAACUCCUUUCGCUAGGGACGAAGCUUUUUGUGACGGUACCUAGAUAAGAAGCACCGGCUAACUACGUG